GAUGAAGAACGCAGUGAAAUGCGAUACGUAAUGUGAAUUGCAGAAUUCAGUGAAUCAUCGAGUCUUUGAACGCACAUUGCGCCCCCUGGUAUUCCGGGGGGCAUGCCUGUCCGAGCGUCAUUGCUGCCCUCAAGCACGGCUUGUGUGUUGGGCCUCUGUCCUCCUCCCGGGGGACGGGCCCGAAAGGCAGCGGCGGCACCGCGUCCGGUCCUCGAGCGUAUGGGGCUUCGUCACCCGCUCUUGUAGGCCCGGCCGGCGCUUGCCGACACAUCAAUCUUUUUUCCAGGUUGACCUCGGAUCAGGUAGGGAUACCCGCUGAACUUAAGCAUAUCAAUAAGCGGAGGA
rnacentral:misc_RNA from 1 species